AGCCCGCGCGCAGGGCCUGGCGGCUGCCCUCGCCCGCCCCCGGGCAGGGGCGCGUCCUCCUGCCUGCGGCCCCUCGCAGGCGCUUUCCGUACAGCUGCCCCGGGAACCGCGCUGAGCCAGGAAAAAGCAAAACAAAAAACCCAAAUCAGACCACCAGAUGCAGCAGAGGACACUCCCAGCAGAGCUCCAUGUGCAAAUCGGAUGUUCCACAUUAUUUGAACAACAUGAGGCAUCAAGUGUUAGGCAUUCUGAGAGUCAUUUGUUAUUGAAAGGCUUACACGGAUUGAGGGUACACAUCUACACCAGAACGAUGUUUUUUCUAAGUACUUAUGAGUUCCUCCAUCCUUGAAUUAAGGAAGAAUUCACACCCUUCUGAUGUUAAUUUCUAAAGAGUCAGAGUACUACAACCUGAGAUUUGUCUUGCUGAAAGACUGGAGAUCUGUACUUAAAAAAAGAACCAACUGUUGUUCUAAGACACAGCACCUGAGUUCAUAUUUGCUUAAGAAAAGUAACUUGUAUUAAAGGAAUUUCCAUAAGUUCCACAUAAUGUCUUUUUCUUAUAUUAUCCUUAUAAACCUUUAGAUAAGACAAAUGAAUAAUUUCUCCAGUAUAGAUCAAAAUUAAUCUAAGAGUUUUCCAAACCAAGAUAAAUACCACCAGAGAACAAGUUAUAGUAAAAAUGAUAAUGUCCUCAAGUCUCCAUCCCAUCAUUUUUUAAAAGCUUUACUUAAAAGACUGAUCUGGAAUUCCUACUCCAACGGUAAGAAGUGUACUUAUGCCCUCCUUAAAGAUAAAGAUGCUCAAGACAGGCUUCCGUUAAUCUCUGUAGCAACAAAUUUGUUAUCUUUUGAGAGGAAGAAUUAUGGUAGAAAAUUCUAACAGAAGAAAGUGAAGUAAGUGGGCAUGUUAUUAUCUGACUAGAAACAAAAGCGAGUGACAGAGGCAAGCAACAGGGGUUUGAUACACUGGAGAUCAUCCAGUGGCAAUAUAUUCAAGAUUUUAUUUUAUACUUCUCCUGUAAAUAAUAUAUAGAACAGUACAAUAAAGGAAAUGAGAGCUAAGAAACA
rnacentral:lncRNA from 1 species